UGCGGGGUGGAGCAGUGGCAGCUCGUCAGGCUCAUAACCUGAAGGUCGUUGGUUCGAAUCCAACCCCCGCUACUA
rnacentral:tRNA from 1 species